UACGGGGGGUGCGAGCGUUGUCCGGAAUCACUGGGCGUAAAGGGCGCGUAGGUGGUUUGAUAAGGGUGUGGUGAAAGCCCGGGGCUCAACCCCGGGUCUGCCGUGCCGACUGUCAAACUCGAGGGCUGUAGAGGCAGACGGAAUUCCGGGUGUAGCGGUGGAAUGCGUAGAUAUCUGGAGGAAUACCGGUGGCGAAGGCGGCAUCCUGGACCGACAUUGACGCUGAGGAGCGAAAGCUAGGGGAGCAAACGGG
rnacentral:rRNA from 1 species